rnacentral:rRNA from 1 species
AGCGUACACGGUGGAUGCCCUGGCAGUCAGAGGCGAUGAAGGACGUGCUAAUCUGCGAUAAGCGUCGGUAAGGUGAUAUGAACCGUUAUAACCGGCGAUUUCCGAAUGGGGAAACCCAGUGUGAUUCGUCACACUAUCAUUAACUGAAUCCAUAGGUUAAUGAGGCGAACCGGGGGAACUGAAACAUCUAAGUACCCCGAGGAAAAGAAAUCAACCGAGAUUCCCCCAGUAGCGGCGAGCGAACGGGGAGCAGCCCAGAGCCUGAAUCAGUGUGUGUGUUAGUGGAAGCGUCUGGAAAGGCGCGCGAUACAGGGUGACAGCCCCGUACACAAAAAUGCACAUGCUGUGAGCUCGAUGAGUAGGGCGGGACACGUGGUAUCCUGUCUGAAUAUGGGGGGACCAUCCUCCAAGGCUAAAUACUCCUGACUGACCGAUAGUGAACCAGUACCGUGAGGGAAAGGCGAAAAGAACCCCGGCGAGGGGAGUGAAAAAGAACCUGAAACCGUGUACGUACAAGCAGUGGGAGCACGCUUAGGCGUGUGACUGCGUACCUUUUGUAUAAUGGGUCAGCGACUUAUAUUCUGUAGCAAGGUUAACCGAAUAGGGGAGCCGAAGGGAAACCGAGUCUUAACUGGGCGUUAAGUUGCAGGGUAUAGACCCGAAACCCGGUGAUCUAGCCAUGGGCAGGUUGAAGGUUGGGUAACACUAACUGGAGGACCGAACCGACUAAUGUUGAAAAAUUAGCGGAUGACUUGUGGCUGGGGGUGAAAGGCCAAUCAAACCGGGAGAUAGCUGGUUCUCCCCGAAAGCUAUUUAGGUAGCGCCUCGUGAAUUCAUCUCCGGGGGUAGAGCACUGUUUCGGCAAGGGGGUCAUCCCGACUUACCAACCCGAUGCAAACUGCGAAUACCGGAGAAUGUUAUCACGGGAGACACACGGCGGGUGCUAACGUCCGUCGUGAAGAGGGAAACAACCCAGACCGCCAGCUAAGGUCCCAAAGUCAUGGUUAAGUGGGAAACGAUGUGGGAAGGCCCAGACAGCCAGGAUGUUGGCUUAGAAGCAGCCAUCAUUUAAAGAAAGCGUAAUAGCUCACUGGUCGAGUCGGCCUGCGCGGAAGAUGUAACGGGGCUAAACCAUGCACCGAAGCUGCGGCAGCGACGCUUAUGCGUUGUUGGGUAGGGGAGCGUUCUGUAAGCCUGUGAAGGUGUGCUGUGAGGCAUGCUGGAGGUAUCAGAAGUGCGAAUGCUGACAUAAGUAACGAUAAAGCGGGUGAAAAGCCCGCUCGCCGGAAGACCAAGGGUUCCUGUCCAACGUUAAUCGGGGCAGGGUGAGUCGACCCCUAAGGCGAGGCCGAAAGGCGUAGUCGAUGGGAAACAGGUUAAUAUUCCUGUACUUGGUGUUACUGCGAAGGGGGGACGGAGAAGGCUAUGUUGGCCGGGCGACGGUUGUCCCGGUUUAAGCGUGUAGGCUGGUUUUCCAGGCAAAUCCGGAAAAUCAAGGCUGAGGCGUGAUGACGAGGCACUACGGUGCUGAAGCAACAAAUGCCCUGCUUCCAGGAAAAGCCUCUAAGCAUCAGGUAACAUCAAAUCGUACCCCAAACCGACACAGGUGGUCAGGUAGAGAAUACCAAGGCGCUUGAGAGAACUCGGGUGAAGGAACUAGGCAAAAUGGUGCCGUAACUUCGGGAGAAGGCACGCUGAUAUGUAGGUGAAGUCCCUCGCGGAUGGAGCUGAAAUCAGUCGAAGAUACCAGCUGGCUGCAACUGUUUAUUAAAAACACAGCACUGUGCAAACACGAAAGUGGACGUAUACGGUGUGACGCCUGCCCGGUGCCGGAAGGUUAAUUGAUGGGGUCAGCGCAAGCGAAGCUCUUGAUCGAAGCCCCGGUAAACGGCGGCCGUAACUAUAACGGUCCUAAGGUAGCGAAAUUCCUUGUCGGGUAAGUUCCGACCUGCACGAAUGGCGUAAUGAUGGCCAGGCUGUCUCCACCCGAGACUCAGUGAAAUUGAACUCGCUGUGAAGAUGCAGUGUACCCGCGGCAAGACGGAAAGACCCCGUGAACCUUUACUAUAGCUUGACACUGAACAUUGAGCCUUGAUGUGUAGGAUAGGUGGGAGGCUUUGAAGUGUGGACGCCAGUCUGCAUGGAGCCGACCUUGAAAUACCACCCUUUAAUGUUUGAUGUUCUAACGUUGACCCGUAAUCCGGGUUGCGGACAGUGUCUGGUGGGUAGUUUGACUGGGGCGGUCUCCUCCUAAAGAGUAACGGAGGAGCACGAAGGUUGGCUAAUCCUGGUCGGACAUCAGGAGGUUAGUGCAAUGGCAUAAGCCAGCUUGACUGCGAGCGUGACGGCGCGAGCAGGUGCGAAAGCAGGUCAUAGUGAUCCGGUGGUUCUGAAUGGAAGGGCCAUCGCUCAACGGAUAAAAGGUACUCCGGGGAUAACAGGCUGAUACCGCCCAAGAGUUCAUAUCGACGGCGGUGUUUGGCACCUCGAUGUCGGCUCAUCACAUCCUGGGGCUGAAGUAGGUCCCAAGGGUAUGGCUGUUCGCCAUUUAAAGUGGUACGCGAGCUGGGUUUAGAACGUCGUGAGACAGUUCGGUCCCUAUCUGCCGUGGGCGCUGGAGAACUGAGGGGGGCUGCUCCUAGUACGAGAGGACCGGAGUGGACGCAUCACUGGUGUUCGGGUUGUCAUGCCAAUGGCACUGCCCGGUAGCUAAAUGCGGAAGAGAUAAGUGCUGAAAGCAUCUAAGCACGAAACUUGCCCCGAGAUGAGUUCU